rnacentral:rRNA from 1 species
AACGUAGGAGACAAACGUUAUCCGGAGUUACUGGGCGUAAAGGGCGUGUAGGUGGUUUCGUAAGUCUGGCGUGAAAUAUCUCGGCUUAACCGAGGCAGGUCGUCGGAUACUGCGGAACUAGAGGACGGUAGAGGCGUGUGGAAUUCCGGGUGUAGUGGUGAAAUGCGUAGAGAUCCGGAGGAACACCAGUGGCGAAGGCGACACGCUGGGCCGUACCUGACACUGAUGCGCGACAGCAUGGGGAGCAAACGGG